GAUGAACGCUGGCGGCGUGCCUAAUACAUGCAAGUCGAACGCUUUGUCUUUAAUUGAUAUGAAGAGCUUGCUCUGAUUUGAUUUUAUCUGACAAAGAGUGGCGAACGGGUGAGUAACACGUGGGUAACCUACCUCUUAGCAGGGGAUAACAUUUGGAAACAAGUGCUAAUACCGUAUAACACUAACAACCGCAUGGUUGUUAGUUGAAAGAUGGUUCUGCUAUCACUAAGAGAUGGACCCGCGGUGCAUUAGCUAGUUGGUAAGGUAAUGGCUUACCAAGGCGAUGAUGCGUAGCCGAGCUGAGAGACUGAUCGGCCACACUGGGACUGAGACACGGCCCAUACUCCUACGGGAGGCAGCAGUAGGGAAUCUUCCACAAUGGGCGCAAGCCUGAUGGAGCAACGCCGCGUGUGUGAUGAAGGGUUUCGGCUCGUAAAACACUGUUAUAAGAGAAGAACGACAUUGAGAGUAACUGUUCAGUGUGUGACGGUAUCUUAUCAGAAAGGAACGGCUAAAUACGUG
rnacentral:rRNA from 1 species